rnacentral:rRNA from 1 species
UAAGGAAUAUUGCGCAAUGGGCGAAAGCCUGACGCAGCGACGCCGCGUGGGGGAUGAAGGUCUUCGGAUUGUAAACCCCUUUCGGGAGGGAAGAUGGGAUGGGGUAACCCAUUCGGACGGUACCUCCAGAAGCAGCCACGGCUAACUUCGUGCCAGCAGCCGCUGUAAUACGAAGGUGGCAAGCGUUGUUCGGAUUUACUGGGCGUACAGGGAGCGUAGGCGGUUGGAUAAGCCCUCCGUGAAAUCUCCAGGCUUAACCUGGAAAGUGCAGAGGGGACUGUUCAGCUAGAGGAUGGGAGAGGAGCGAGGAAUUCCCGGUGUAGCGGUGAAAUGCGUAGAGAUCGGGAGGAAGGCCGGUGGCGAAGGCGGCGCUCUGGAACAUUUCUGACGCUGAGGCUCGAAAGCGUGGGGAGCAAACAGG